rnacentral:rRNA from 1 species
ACUCAAUUGGAAAGAGGAGUGGCGGACGGGUGAGUAACACGUGGGUAACCUACCCAUCAGAGGGGGAUAACACUUGGAAACAGGUGCUAAUACCGCAUAACAGUUUAUGCCGCAUGGCAUAAGAGUGAAAGGCGCUUUCGGGUGUCGCUGAUGGAUGGACCCGCGGUGCAUUAGCUAGUUGGUGAGGUAACGGCUCACCAAGGCCACGAUGCAUAGCCGACCUGAGAGGGUGAUCGGCCACACUGGGACUGAGACACGGCCCAGACUCCUACGGGAGGCAGCAGUAGGGAAUCUUCGGCAAUGGACGAAAGUCUGACCGAGCAACGCCGCGUGAGUGAAGAAGGUUUUCGGAUCGUAAAACUCUGUUGUUAGAGAAGAACAAGGACGUUAGUAACUGAACGUCCCCUGACGGUAUCUAACCAGAAAGCCACGGCUAACUACGUGCCAGCAGCCGCGGUAAUACGUAGGUGGCAAGCGUUGUCCGGAUUUAUUGGGCGUAAAGCGAGCGCAGGCGGUUUCUUAAGUCUGAUGUGAAAGCCCCCGGCUCAACCGGGGAGGGUCAUUGGAAACUGGGAGACUUGAGUGCAGAAGAGGAGAGUGGAAUUCCAUGUGUAGCGGUGAAAUGCGUAGAUAUAUGGAGGAACACCAGUGGCGAAGGCGGCUCUCUGGUCUGUAACUGACGCUGAGGCUCGAAAGCGUGGGGAGCAAACAGGAUUAGAUACCUGGUAGUCCACGCCGUAAACGAUGAGUGCUAAGUGUUGGAGGGUUUCCGCCCCUCAGUGCUGCAGCAAACGCAUUAAGCACUCCGCCUGGGGAGUACGACCGCAAGGUUG